CCUUCUGUGAUGAUUUUUCAUUUUGACUUUCGUUCUUCUGAAUUAUCUGAAGCAACAUGUGUAAUCUGAAAAGG
rfam:Xenopus laevis strain J chromosome 2L, whole genome shotgun sequence.